rnacentral:rRNA from 1 species
UAGGGAAUCUUCGGCAAUGGGGGGAACCCUGACCGAGCAACGCCGCGUGAGUGAAGAAGGUUUUCGGAUCGUAAAGCUCUGUUGUUAAGGAAGAACGAGUGUGAGAAUGGAAAGUUCAUACUGUGACGGUACUUAACCAGAAAGGGACGGCUAACUACGUGCCAGCAGCCGCGGUAAUACGUAGGUCCCGAGCGUUGUCCGGAUUUAUUGGGCGUAAAGCGAGCGCAGGCGGUUAGAUAAGUCUGAAGUUAAAGGCAGUGGCUCAACCAUUGUAGGCUUUGGAAACUGUUUAACUUGAGUGCAGAAGGGGAGAGUGGAAUUCCAUGUGUAGCGGUGAGAUGCGUAGAUAUAUGGAGGAACACCGGUGGCGAAAGCGGCUCUCUGGUCUGUAACUGACGCUGAGGCUCGAAAGCGUGGGGAGCGAACAGG